rnacentral:lncRNA from 1 species
GAACACCUUAUCUGCUCUCGAGAGCUGUGACUCUUCAUCCUUUCCUUAUGAAGACCCAGGGGAUUGCUUACUUAGCAUCCACCAGAGGCAAUGGAUAGGGUGAGCAGUCACUGCAGCCAGAAAAGCCCAGCACGGAGCAAAGGCAAUUACCUCCGCACGCAGAGACUUUGGAGCUGAAUUGUGCUGAACGGAGAACCCCUCCGGCUGGCAGAGCCAUGUGCGGCCGAGAAGAGCAGCCACUUUCGCUCCGCUGAAAAGCAAUGCAGGAACCCUCGUGGUGUACGGUGCUGCUGGGUGCAAUCAUUAAGGCAAUGAGCAAACGCUCUCCACUUGUUGUCCAACUUUGAAGACGGGCAGAUCUACAAGGCAGGUCCCCAGAAGCUCUGUUCCUAAAGCAGAAGUGCAAUAGUGCUCAAGGAGGAUUAAAGGACUAGGAUCGAGUACUUCCUAAAUACUGCUGCCUGCCCCUGUUCUAAACAACAGCUCAAAAAUAACAUACUUGCCUCUUCCGAGGGCUGUUCAAGAAGUAUAGGUAUGCACCCAAAAUAUAUCCAGAAGUUGAAAGAUCAGGCUCAACAUUUUGCAAAAAUAUUCCUACAGGGCAGUUUGACCUUCAGAAGAUACAGAACUGGCCCACGGUUCCUCUUUCUCUGAAGCUUUAGAAAAGAAUUCUGACAUAGGGCAUUUUGGUGGGUAGUUCAAUGCAAUGAACUUAAAAAAUAAGGCCAUGGAAGUACAACUACUGAUAAGCUCAGUGAUCAGUGACAGACUGCAAAACAGACAUCUGAUUUGCACAGAAACAUCUGGAGGGAGCUCCAAAUGCUCUGUGCUUGGUUCUGAGUCUCUGGGACUUGGCUCGUGGAAUUUUUAAUGUUCUUUUAAUCUCUUUUGAACAUAAAUAAGAGGGGAAGAGCAUGUGAACUUAACGAGUGUUUGCUUCAACAACAGCUUCAGAGACAUGUACACUUUCUGAACAUAACUUUAACAUUACAUUUCAUAUCCAUUUCACCUAGCCCUGGCAAGGCUAAGCCCCUGGGGUCCUAUUCACAAAUACUCAUGGCAGCCAGCGAGGGAAGGAUUCCAAGUCAGGAGGAACAUCAUAUCCCUGGUGUGUCAGUCAGUACUUUGUUCAGAGGGAAAGACGACGAAGCAAGACAGAAGGCUGCUGAAAACACAGAUGCUCACAUUUCUCCCACUAGAAACAGAACAAGAAUUUAUUUUCUUUUAUCAUAAAUCACAGGUUUUCUCUUAACGCUAUGCUUUAGACCUUCAGUCAGGGCUUAUGGCAGUAUAGAACCGCAUGCUCAAGUAAAUAUAAACUAUCUGGUGGAAAUGUCUUUCCUUAUUUCUCUUUCUACUGCUGCCCCAUCUGAUUGAUUUGUUGAUUACUGGAGAAUUUGCUGCAUCACACCUUUAGUUUAGUUUAAGCUAUAAACUGGCCAGAAGUAAGCUGAUGUCCCCCAUUCAAUAUUGUUUUUCUGCACUGAUAUUCAAGCCCCCAUUGUCUCUGCCAGCAUCACCAACCUAUCUAUCACUUCUUACCAAAUGACCACACCACACCAUAUGUUGCAGAAUUAUUUUGGAUUUUCACCAGCUUAGUUUAAAAAUCAGUCCUCGAUCUGAGCAUGAUCCAGCCAAGAGGAGGAAAAACUAAUAGAUAUGAUAUCAUUUUUUCUACCUUCCUUGAAGGCACUAAGUAUUUGUCACACAGAGCCUUGCCAUAUUGAUCCCUUUACCUUCACUAUGAAGAUGGAUCGUGCUGUGUGUGGGUCUGCCCGAGUCAUUUUGUGAACCUUGUGCUUCUUUAUGGGGGAAAUUGGGGAAAAUAAUAUGUCAUAUCAAUGUGGCGUAUCAAUUACACACGAUAGUGCAAAGAAAGGCCUAUAAAGGAGAGGUAUCAUGGAGUCAGAACAAAGGUGAGAUUAUACACAUUUACCAAGUGGCCCAUUUACUGUGAGGUUUCUAGAGAGGUUCAGAAAGAACUGGUAUUAGGCUGGGAAGGGAAAUCACUCCAAGCUGGCAACUUGUCAGGAAAGUAUCUGCCAUUACAUGAGGCUCAAAUAAUGACAAAUCAUAACAAAUCAUUCAAAGUCAUGAAACUCGGGAACUCCGUUCACUUCUCAUGGGCUGUGUCUGUUCACCACAUGAAAGAUGACUAACACAUUCUCUCCCAAUUCAGACUCUGUCACACCAUUACAAUGCUUGGGAUUCUCUGUGUUUGCCACGGGGAUUUUCUGGAAAGAAGCAGAUUCUCCAGUUCAGAAAACAACUGAUGCCACUUCAUAUCAUUUUUAUCAUUGAGCCACAUCUCAGAAAUGACCUUUUUAAGAGUUGUCUGAAGAAUGGGAACAGGUUACUAAAAGGAAGGAAGAAGAAAUGGUAUCCAACUGGAAGAAAAAAAAAAAGCAAGGAAGUUUUAAACCAUGCUUCCAUGUCCGUAGCAACGCCG